rnacentral:misc_RNA from 1 species
CUCUUCGCCCUUGCCUUCUUGCUCCGUAGUACGGUGCACACAUAGAUACAUAAAUAUAUAGGACACGCGCGUACUUGUGCUGCCCAUUCGGCGCCACUGUUCAGUGGGGAUGCGAGAGGACAGCCCCGGCAGCGAGUCGCAGAGCCGCCAGUCAGAUCGCACCUGCGGCGUGUCGCCGGGCGGCCCUGGCGCCAGCCCAUCCAUUGUCGUAGCGGUGCGGAAGCGACCCCGCAUCCCGGGCCGCGAGGAUGACGAGAAUGACGUGGUGCGCUGCGGUGAGAAUGGUGGCCCUUCCGUCACAGUGUACGAGCCGCGCACGAAGCUCGACCUCACACCCAUCAUUGAGCCAAGCAGCUUUAGCUACGAUCACGUCUUUGGUGAAGCGUGCACUAACGAGGAGGUCUACCGCGGCUGCUGUCGACCCCUCCUCCAGAAUGUGCGGGAAGGCGGUGGCGCUGUCAUCUUUGCCUUUGGGCAGACGGGCAGCGGCAAGACUCACACGAUGCUCGGCACAGGAGAGCGUCCCGGCCUUUACAGCUUAGCCGUGACGGAGCUUCUCACCAUGACGGAGCACAGCACCAUGACGGCGAGCUUCUAUGAGGCGUACGGGGCGAAGCUCUACGACCUGCUCAACGAUCGAGCGGAGGUGAAGAUGCUGCAGGACGAGUACCAGAAUGUGCAUAUUGUCGGCAUCACUGAGCAGAUCGUCAGCUCUGUUGACGACGUCAAUGCAUUGAUGAUGAGAGGGCAGCAGUUGAGGGCGAUCGGCACAACGCACGCAAACGACCGCAGCUCACGGUCGCACGCCGUUCUAGAGAUCAAGCUGAAGCUAGCGGACAACAACAGUGAGUCGCAACUAGGCCGCAUCACCUUCGUAGACCUCGCCGGCAGCGAGCGGGCGUCCGACACGGCGGAGACGGAUGCCAAGACGCGCCGCGAAGGCGCCGAGAUCAACAAAUCGCUGCUGGCGUUGAAGGAGUGCAUACGUGCCAUGUCGAUGCGCAAGCGGCACAUCCCGUUCCGCGGCUCGAAACUGACGCAGAUUCUUCGCGAGAGCUUCGUUGGCCGCUGCAAGACGUGUGUGAUCGCGGCGAUAUCGCCGUGCCAGAGCCACUGCGAGGACACCCUCAACACCCUCCGCUACGCAGACCGCAUCAAGGAGCUGAAGGGGCCUGCAAACCCGCACAACGGUGUGAAGCCGAUCCCGUGUAAGACGUGCGGUCAGCCGAUCUUCAUUGGCGACCGACACGUGUGCAAGCGCCAGCUGGCAGCCUGCCCCCACUGUAGGCAGGAUGUGGACAAACAGGAGCUAGACACGCAUGUGGCCGAGUGCAAGGAGUCACCUAUGCGUUGCCAGUACUGCAACGAGCGCAUGCUGCGCAGCGAGUCGGUCAGCCACAGCCGGCGCUGCGCCCGCGCCCCGAUUCGCUGCGGCGCAUGCGGUGCCACCGUACCACGCCAGCUCAUGGACAGGCACACUCAGCAGGAGUGCGCGGAGGCCAAGGUGAAGUGUCGAUACUGCGGCUGUGUGCAGAGUCGUCAAUUACUCGCGGCGCAUGAGCAGAACUGCGACGUUGCGAAGGUGGCGUGCCCGCACUGCCUGCAGUUUGUGCGCAAGAGGCGAUUGGAUGGACACGUUGCGAGCUGCGCGCGCAACCUCAGUCGUGCAAUGCAUACACCGCGCAGCACUGCUCUGAAUAUCAUCGCGUCGGCUUCGAUGGAGACAUCACAGACGCUGGCCUCCUCCUCCUCCAGCAUCGGAGCGCAGCAGAGCAUUCUGAAGAGUGCUACAGCCCAGACAGCAGCGUCAUCGCGCACAUCUUCCUCGCACAAUCGAAACGUAGCUGCCGAGCCGGCGGGUGGACAGGUAGACCUGGUGGCUGCGGACGAAGGCACCGGCCCCCUCACGUUCACUCGAGCGCACUCAUCUCCGAGGUCAUCGGCUCAGCUGGCCAGCAGUGCACCGUUUGCGAACCGAUCCCAGUCGAACCGUGCACCGGCGGCAGGAGGUCGCUGGAACGCCGGUGCCCUAGGCGCCGACGAGGCCAGCGCCGCGUGCGAUAACGACUGCGGCAGCGUUGUCUGCCCGUACUCGCGCUACGGCUGCCCUGUCAAGGUGACGCGACUGAACGUGGCAGCCCAUCUGAAGGAGUCGAUGCAGCAGCACCUAGAGCUCGUCACGACGUACGCGGACCGCGUGGAUGAGCAGAACAUGCAGCUGCGACGCCUCGUGAUACACGAGACGGACACGUUGAGCAGUCGGGCCACGAUGGAACGUCUGGACAAGUGAGUCGAGACAGCCCGAGUUUUUGUUGUGCCGCCUCGCCCCGUUGUUUUGCUCCGGCCUCUUCUUCACCGCGUCGGUUGUUUUCUUAUUAUUGCAGCAAUGCGUGCUCCCUGCACACGGCUCUUCAACCAUGCGUGUCGGUGCGUGUGUGCGCAAACAUGUGUUGCUCCCGCUCCCUCCACCCCUCCCUGUCGAGGAGCGCCACCACACCGCACGGAUGCACACGCGUGUGUCUCCUCUCGCCACCCUCUCAGUACUCUGUUCAACUUUCUUCCACACACAUCUCACGUUCAUGCGUGCGCAUAUACAUACAGACUCGUAUAGUUGGGCUGCCCAUCGCCCACUUUUUCCGUUUCUUGGCUCCGCCCCUCCCCGAACUCCUCCGCUGCCGCUGUUACUAUUAUUGCUUGCAUGCAUGGCUCGCACUCACCCACCACACUUCACCAUACCCCUACUCUCUGCCGUUUUGAGUCGUCGUGUGUUUAAGAUCGUUGUUUGUGUCUUGCCUCUCGCAAUUUUUCUCUCUUCCAUGUACAGUCGUCGGCUUCACAUAUCCCCCUCUCACGCUGCCUCUUUCCCCUCUCCCCCCGGGUCGCAGCUGCACCGGUGACGGCCGCCGCCGCCUCCCCGACCGUCUGCCUAUUUCUUAGGCCUCCGCACUGCACAAACCCACGCAUGGCACUUUCCCAUGCUGACUUCUUUUCUCCAUCGCCCUCUUGUUUUUGUGUUCGUGCUGCUGGGCUGGGACGUGAGUUUGUGCGCAACCACUCAGCUGUCUCCUCCCUCUCCUCCAGCACCUUGCCCAGUGCGUCCCUUAUUCUUUCCGUGUCCUUGCGUAUUCUCGUGUGUUUGUCUUCUCUCGCUUGGUGUUGUGUGCCGCGUUGCGUGCGUCAACCUCGCCUCCUCCUCGCCUCCUCCUCGCCUCCUCCUCGCCUCAUACACGGACACACCCACGUGCGCUCCUUCCUCCCCUUCCUCAACUCACCCUCACUCGGUUGUUCGUUCUCUCUUUGUUGGCCGAUCUUUUCGGGUUGACGCGCGCGGAAGUGCGGCGAGGUGCCUCGUGGUGGAGGAGGCGCUGUCUAGACGGGCAGACUUGCACGAUGUAAUGCGUUGGGGUUGGCUGGCCGGUGAGCCAAGUGCUUUGUAUAUGUGUGUAGGCGUGCAUGCCGACGCCUCUUCUCACCUCCCUUGGCCCCUGUACGAGUGCUGCUGCUGCAGGUGCGGUUGCUGCCAUGACGGGAGUGGUGGCGCACGUGUCUCUCUGCCUCUUUAUGCCGUUUGAACUUCGCGCGUUGCACCUCUUUGCACCCCCCCCCCCCCCCCCCCCCCAACAGCGAGGGCGACAAGACGGACCGUCAUGAAUUCACUCACACACGCACAUGUAAAUAUUUUCGGUACGCACAGGCGUGCCGUGUUAAGCCGCCACACAUCUCUGUUGGUCUGUGCUCGUUUGUGUGCAAACCAUCAGAGAGAGAGACGUCGACGAAGACGCAUCCUCUUGCCUAUCUCGGCUCUGCCCCCCCCCCCCCCCCCCCUUCCCCCGACCUCUCCUUCGCGUGAGGGUGCUGCUCAUACUCUCCCCAUCUUAUCUCUCUUGCGAUCCGCUCUACGCCGUAUACACACACACACACACUUAAUUGUGUAUGUGCUUGCCUGUGAGCGUCUCAUCGCCCUUGCGUGUGCGCUUCACGGCCACAUCAG